AGUGAACGCUGGCGGCAGGCCUAACACAUGCAAGUCGAACGGCAGCACAGUAAGAUCUUGCUCUUACGGGUGGCGAGUGGCGGACGGGUGAGGAAUACAUCGGAAUCUACUUUUUCGUGGGGGAUAACGUAGGGACACUUACGCUAAUACCGCAUAUGAUCUACGGGUGAAAGCAAAAGAUCUUCGGACCUUGCGCGACUGAAUGAGACGAUGUCGGAUUAGCUAGUUGGCAGGGUAAAGGCCCACCAAGGCGACGAUCCGUAGCAGGUCUGAGAGGAUGAUCAGCCACACUGGAACUGAGACACGGUCCAGACUCCUACGGGAGGCAGCAGUGGGGAAUAUUGGACAAUGGGCGCAAGCCUGAUCCAGCCACGCCGCGUGGGUGAAGAAGGUCUUCGGGUUGUAAAGCCCUUUUGUUGGGAAAGAACAGCAGCAGGUGAAUACCCCGCUGUUCUGACGGUACCCAAAGAGUAAGCACCGGCUAACUUCGUG
rnacentral:rRNA from 1 species